ACCCCAUGUGAAAAAGCCGGCCAAUUUCGUAUUUGAGACUUGAUUGGUGUGCUUUCGAUGGGAACAUUAAAUCUGGUGUUGUGUAUGACUACAUUAUAUAUCAUUAUAUGCAGUCAAAGGAAACUCAGAAACA